UGCAAGUCGAACGAAGUAGCAAUACUUAGUGGCAGACGGGUGAGUAACAUGUGGGUAUCUACCCUUUGGCCUGGAAUAACACGAGGAAACUUGUGCUAAUACCGGAUAAGUCUUUACGGAGAAAGCUUUAUGCACCAUUGGAUGAGCCUGCACUUGAUUAGUUUGUUGGUGGGGUAAUGGCCUACCAAGACUGUGAUCAAUAGCUGAUUUGAGAGGAUGAUCAGCCACAUUGGGACUGAGACACGGCCCAAACUCCUACGGGAGGCAGCAGUGGGGAAUCUUGCACAAUGGAGGAAACUCUGAUGCAGCGAUGCCGCGUGAGUGAAGAAGGCCUUUGGGUUGUAAAGCUCUUUCGUCGGGGAAGAAAAUGACUGUACCCGAAUAAGAAGGUCCGGCUAACUUCGUGCCAGCAGCCGCGGUAAUACGAAGGGACCUAGCGUAGUUCGGAAUUACUGGGCUUAAAAGAGUUCGUAGGUGGUUGAAAAAGUUGGUGGUGAAAUCCCAGAGCUUAACUCUGGGAAACUGCCCAUCAAAAACUUUUUCAGCUAGAGUAUGAUAGAGGAAA
rnacentral:rRNA from 1 species